rnacentral:lncRNA from 1 species
ACCGGAGACUGGGUGCAUAUUCACCUGCUGAGCAUCGUCCUCCUGCCCCCUCACGAUGUCCCUCCCAGACCUGGAAAUGCAGGGACCCUGGGGCGUAAACGCCACUGAGGAGCUUACGAUGAAACCAACACCUUUGUGCUUCAGGAAGACGCGGGCCCUAGAGCAGAAAUAACCGAAGCCCCACGUUCCAGUCGCGGGAUGCGUGAUGCGGGAGGGAGAUGGAUGGACUGAGCCAGAUGGACAAGGGUUUUCAGACUUGCCAGGUUUAUUUUGCCCUCAGCACCCAGCAUCCUUCCCUGAGCGGCCGGAGAGAACGGCGGGGGAUGCGGAUGAGGCACCCAGGCUUCAGUGUAAAGGUUCGACCACUUCCCGGAGCCUCGGUUCACCGUGUUGGUGUUUCCAGAACCAUCUCCUGGCUCCCACUCCCCUGCCCCUUGCCCUACAGCACCCACAGGCGCACCCUUGCUGCUGAGGAGCCUGGGCCGUCCGUGCUCCUCCCCAAAGCCUGCAUUCACCAGAUGCCAACUUCGCGGCAGAAUCCCGGAGCCUGACUGUGGACCAGGCGCAGAAACCCCGGAUGUCGUCCUUCCCUCUGGGCGCCGGGCCGGGGCCUCAGGUGCAUGUGCACACUCGCUGGGAAGCUGCUGAAGGGCGGUUUCUCCGCUCAGAACUCGAGGAAACGCCCGGCCCUGUGGCGGCAGAAGCACCGGCCGCCCCGGCCCUCCCGCUGCCCGGCUGGGCCGCUGCUGUCCCCCGUCCCCGGGAAGGUCUGUCCCGAGGCGGAGCCGGUGUGGCGGGUCGCUGCUUUCGUGAGAUGCUCCGAGACAGCCACGGCCAAAGGCAAAAUACAUGGGAAAGGCUGCGGACUCCGCCGCACCCGCGGCCUUUGGGAGAUAACGUGGCGAAAGAGCAUUUUUUAAAAAACCCCCUGGCAACUUUUUUUUCCGGCAUUUUUAACCCCGGUGCUUUCUGAGGCGAUAUCGAUUAACAACCAGCAGAGGCAGAGCCUCGGAAGACACGCGCUGGAAGGCGCUGCCGGCGACCAGGCGCGGCAGGUGGCGGAGGCGGGAAGGAGGAAGCGGUUCUGGGGGCGCGUCCCUCGCAGGGGUUGCAGCACGUGCCAGGUGGGGGGAACCCACGUGGGACAGGAAACCCCAGGUCCUGAAAAGGUGGCACCGCCUCCUGACAGAACCCGAGCAGCCGUCAAGGGUAACUGGUGCCGCGUGGGGCAGGUGGCUCCGUUUGACAAGAGCUAAGAUGGCUGAGAAGACCAAGAAAAUCCCAAAUCGAAAGAAACAGGACCACCGUCCACGAAGACAUUAGCUGCCUCUUCACACAGACAAGAGGUGAACUCUUUCGGGGCGGCCCCUCGGCCCCUCGGUCCAUCCCUCGAAGCUCCUUUCGCGUUCUCACCACCAUCCAGACAAACUCCCCGUCUGGGUCCCGAGAACUCCCAGGCCGCGGUGUUUCCAGCAAGUGCAGGGUGGGGCGCAGGAUAGACGCCACGGUGUGUGUCUGCGGCGCACAAUCUGCUGUUCCAACCCGCGGACGUGUCCCUUGCAUCUGCCACCACAAAGUCAUGACCGUACCCACCCCUCCCGAAAUAUGCUUGCAUUCCGGCAAUUUCUCCUCCCCUACCCCCUCUCCCCCGCUGCUGGUCCUGAGGAAACCGUGGGUCUGUUUCUGUGGCUGAAACAUCAUUUGCAUUUUGUGCGGAGUUGCGUCCUAGGGACUCUCGGUCGGACUUCUUCCACUGGUUUUCAGCAUGAUAAUUUGGAGAUUCAUCAGCGCGGCAGCACGCGUUCAUACCUGGUUUUACUUCCGGUGAGCGUGCCAUGGGGAGGUUAUCCGUUCCUCUGUCGGCGACACCGAGGCUGUUUCCAGUACUUGGCUUUUACAAAUAGGGUUGCUAUGAACAGGUGUAUGCAGGGCUUUGACCAGGUACACGUCUUCGUUUCACUGGGUUAAACGCCUAGGAUGAAAAACACAGCAGGUUUUGCAUGUAUUCGUCUUUAAGAAACUUGCAGGCUGUGUUCCAGAGGAACAGCUACUUGAGUGCCCACCAGCACACGGAAGAGUUCCAGUCGCUUCACCGCCUCACCCACACUGGGUGUGGUGGGUCUGUUGGGCGUGAGCACUGUCUAGGGUGGGGUGUGCGCUCCCCGUAGUUUUCGCCUGUGUUUGCCGUGACGACCAAUGCCACCGACACCCUAAUUUGAAAGACCUGUGCUGUCUUUGGGGAAGUGUCUGCUCAGCCACCUGGUCUACUUUCAGCUGGCUCUUUCUCUCCCGACUAAUGGGUGUUCAGUGGCCUGUCUGUUCUGAGUACGGUCCUGGUGAGAUGCAGGCUUUUGAGGUGUCUUCUGCCGCUCUUCCACCCCCUUGACGUUUUCCUUCAAAGGCUUCUCCCUCGGCUCAGUUCUGCGGCGGUGACGUCCAGGAGGCCGCAUGCAGACCCCAGGUCAGCCAGGUGCCACUCUCUCCCGGCUUUCUGAGGUUCGGAGCCUCCAGGGGGCCUUGCAGCUCUGUGCAUGUGAGGGUGACAGCCUGGGUCCCCUCGCUCAGCAGAGGGGAAAACGCCGAAGUGCUGGGAGAGGAGAAGCAACGCUGAGUGACUGAGGGAGCCAGGGUUUGCAGCAAUGGGAACUGUCAGGAAUGUGCUCUCUUAAUGCAGAAGUGGAAUCGAUCCCGGGCCUGGCCCGCAGCAGGCAAAGAGGCCUCCUUCCUGGAGGGGCACGGGAGCGCGAGCGAGGCCAAGGCGGUGCAGGUGGGAGGGUGGGCUCACCGUGACAUCUGUACUCGGAGUCCCCGGAGCCCUCCGGGUGCUAGGGCGAGUUCAGGGGUCUCUCCCCGUCCCUCGCUGACCCCCAGGAGCCCUUCCAGAGCCGCAGGCUCCCAUCCAAGGGGAAGCGCUUCCUAGACGAAAACGACUCUCCCAUAGAGCGCGCGUUCCAAAGUGGUCAUUAGAGAGCAUGGAAAACUCCUCCUGGAAAGAGCUGGAAAGUUCUCAUGGAAACUAAGUUGGACUCGCACAUUGGAAAUCAGUCACCUGCGAUAUUUAAAAAUGAAGCUAAGCUGUCUGAGUGUACAUUUCAGAAAUGCAGCUGGAGCUGCCCAAUAAAAAUAUUUAAAACAU